UACAGAGGUCCCGAGCGUUGUUCGGAUUCAUUGGGCGUAAAGGGUGCGUAGGCGGCGGGGCAAGUCUGAUGUGAAAUCCUGGGGCUUAACCUCAGAAUUGCAUUCAAUACUGCUUAGCUAGAGAGCUGUAGAGGAGACUGGAAUUUACGGUGUAGCAGUGAAAUGCGUAGAUAUCGUAAGGAACGCCAGUGGCGAAAGCGAGUCUCUGGGCAGCAUCUGACACUGAGGCACGAAGGCCAGGGGAGCAAACGGG
rnacentral:rRNA from 1 species